rnacentral:lncRNA from 10 species
CUGAUCUUGGCUCACUGCAACCUCCACCUCCUGGGUUCAAGGAAUUCUCAUACUUCAGCCUCCCGAGUAGCUGGGAUUACAGGUGCACACUACCAUGCUUGGCUAAUUUUUUGUAUUUUUGGUAGAGAUGGGGUUUUGCCAUGUUGGCCAGGCUGGUCUCCAACUCCUGGCCUCAGGUGACCUGCCCGCCUCAGCCUCCCCAAGUGUUCACCCAUUACAGGCGUGAGCCACUGUGCCCAGCCCCAUUCCCAUUUUUCAAAAAUUGAAGCAAAAUUUACAUCUUGUACAGUGAACCAUUUUAGAGUGCACGCUUCAGCGGCAUUCAGCACAUCACAAUGUCAGCAGCCACCUCCUCUCUCUAAUUUCAAAACAUUUCAUCAUCCCAAAAGAAUGCCCCAUACCCACGAAGCAGCCACUCCCCAUCCCCUUCUCUCCAGCCCCUGGGACACCACCAAUCUGCUUUCCUCUAGAGGAUUUGCCUCCUCUAGACACUCCAUGUAAAUGGAAUCAGACAGCAUGUGGCCUUUUGUGUCUGCCUUCCUUUCCUUAGCAUAAUGUUUCCAGCAUCCACCCAUGUGGCAGCGCUUCAUUCCUUUUCAUGGCCGAAUAAUAUUCCACUGUAUGGAUGGACCACUAUUUGUUCAUCUUCUCUUUCUUUUUUUUUUUGAGAUGGAGUCUCGUUCUGU